rnacentral:rRNA from 1 species
UGAGUAACACGUAUCCAACCUGCCGUCUACUCUUGGACAGCCUUCUGAAAGGAAGAUUAAUACAAGAUGGCAUCAUGAGUCCGCAUGUUCACAUGAUCAAAGGUAUUCCGGUAGACGAUGGGGAUGCGUUCCAUUAGAUAGUAGGCGGGGUAACGGCCCACCUAGUCUUCGAUGGAUAGGGGUUCUGAGAGGAAGGUCCCCCACAUUGGAACUGAGACACGGUCCAA